ACCUCUGCGUCGAUAUUGUCCUCAAUAUUCCCAAAUUACCCUUUCUUUCCCCUGAAGCUCGCAAAGCCUUCAUGGAGCAGUUAGCCGCCUCUCAUCCAGAUAAGCAAUACUGGGAAGCUGGUGGGAACUGUAAUAUGGUUAUAACAGCUGCGAGGCUGGGACUUAAGUGUAGUCAAUUGAUCAUGUUGGUAAUGAAAUUUAUGGGAAGUUUCUUCUAGAUGUGCUUCGUGAUGAAGGAAUUGAUUUGGUUGAAAUGAGUGAAGAAACUGAUGUUCUUGAUGCUCCUAGUUCUUCUUAUAAAACCCUCUUAUGCUGGGUGCUCGUUGACCCUUUACAAAAACAUGGCUUUUGCAGUCGGGCGGAUUUUAGUAAGGAACCAGCUUUUAGCUGGAUGAAUACAUUGUCUGAAGAAGUAAAG